ACCCGGAUAGCCUGAAGGUGAGGUAUUCGACUCCAAAUCGUUCAUUCUGGGUUCGAGUCCCAGUACGGGCA
rnacentral:tRNA from 1 species